rnacentral:tRNA from 1 species
GGUGGCUAUAGUUCAGUUGGUUAGAGCGUCAGAUUGUGGUUCUGGAUGUCGUCGGUUCGAACCCGACUAGCCACCCCCA